UUGCUUUAGCAGCACAUCUGCUAAGGUGGAGCGACACAGAGAAGAUUAGCGUGGCCCCUGAGCAAGGACGACAUGCAAUCUCAUGAAUUGAAUUUCAAAGGU